rnacentral:rRNA from 1 species
UACAGAGGUCUCGAGCGUUAGGCGGAAUCACUGGGCUUAAAGCGUGUGUAGGCGGAUUGGUAAGUACCUUGUGAAAUCCCACGGCUUAACCGUGGAACUGCUUGGUAUACUGCCUGUCUUGAGCCAGCUAGGGGCGACCGGAACAAAUGGUGGAGCGGUGAAAUGCGUAGAUAUCAAGAGGAACACCAGUGGCGAAGGCGAGUCCCUGGACAACACCUGACACUGAGGCACGAAAGCUAGGGGAGCAAACAGG